rnacentral:rRNA from 1 species
CCUACGGGUGGCAGCAGUGGGGAAUAUUGCACAAUGGGCGCAAGCCUGAUGCAGCCAUGCCGCGUGUGUGAAGAAGGCCUUCGGGUUGUAAAGCACUUUCAGCGGGGAGGAAGGCGGUGAGGUUAAUAACCUCAUCGAUUGACGUUACCCGCAGAAGAAGCACCGGCUAACUCCGUGCCAGCAGCCGCGGUAAUACGGAGGGUGCAAGCGUUAAUCGGAAUUACUGGGCGUAAAGCGCACGCAGGCGGUCUGUCAAGUCGGAUGUGAAAUCCCCGGGCUCAACCUGGGAACUGCAUUCGAAACUGGCAGGCUAGAGUCUUGUAGAGGGGGGUAGAAUUCCAGGUGUAGCGGUGAAAUGCGUAGAGAUCUGGAGGAAUACCGGUGGCGAAGGCGGCCCCCUGGACAAAGACUGACGCUCAGGUGCGAAAGCGUGGGGAGCAAACAGGAUAGAUACCCUGGUAGUC